GGGACACGUGGUAUCCUGUCUGAAUAUGGGGGGACCAUCCUCCAAGGCUAAAUACUCCUGACUGACCGAUAGUGAACCAGUACCGUGAGGGAAAGGCGAAAAGAACCCCGGCGAGGGGAGUGAAAAAGAACCUGAAACCGUGUACGUACAAGCAGUGGGAGCCUCUUAAUGGGGUGACUGCGUACCUUUUGUAUAAUGGGUCAGCGACUUAUAUUCUGUAGCAAGGUUAACCGAAUAGGGGAGCCGAAGGGAAACCGAGUCUUAACUGGGCGUUAAGUUGCAGGGUAUAGACCCGAAACCCGGUGAUCUAGCCAUGGGCAGGUUGAAGGUUGGGUAACACUAACUGGAGGACCGAACCGACUAAUGUUGAAAAAUUAGCGGAUGACUUGUGGCUGGGGGUGAAAGGCCAAUCAAACCGGGAGAUAGCUGGUUCUCCCCGAAAGCUAUUUAGGUAGCGCCUCGUGAAUUCAUCUCCGGGGGUAGAGCACUGUUUCGGCAAGGGGGUCAUCCCGACUUACCAACCCGAUGCAAACUGCGAAUACCGGAGAAUGUUAUCACGGGAGACACACGGCGGGUGCUAACGUCCGUCGUGAAGAGGGAAACAACCCAGACCGCCAGCUAAGGUCCCAAAGUCAUGGUUAAGUGGGAAACGAUGUGGGAAGGCCCAGACAGCCAGGAUGUUGGCUUAGAAGCAGCCAUCAUUUAAAGAAAGCGUAAUAGCUCACUGGUCGAGUCGGCCUGCGCGGAAGAUGUAACGGGGCUAAACCAUGCACCGAAGCUGCGGCAGCGACGCUUAUGCGUUGUUGGGUAGGGGAGCGUUCUGUAAGCCUGUGAAGGUGGCCUGUGAGGGUUGCUGGAGGUAUCAGAAGUGCGAAUGCUGACAUAAGUAACGAUAAAGCGGGUGAAAAGCCCGCUCGCCGGAAGACCAAGGGUUCCUGUCCAACGUUAAUCGGGGCAGGGUGAGUCGACCCCUAAGGCGAGGCCGAAAGGCGUAGUCGAUGGGAAACAGGUUAAUAUUCCUGUACUUGGUGUUACUGCGAAGGGGGGACGGAGAAGGCUAUGUUGGCCGGGCGACGGUUGUCCCGGUUUAAGCGUGUAGGCUGGUUUUCCAGGCAAAUCCGGAAAAUCAAGGCUGAGGCGUGAUGACGAGGCACUACGGUGCUGAAGCGACAAAUGCCCUGCUUCCAGGAAAAGCCUCUAAGCAUCAGGUAACAUCAAAUCGUACCCCAAACCGACACAGGUGGUCAGGUAGAGAAUACCAAGGCGCUUGAGAGAACUCGGGUGAAGGAACUAGGCAAAAUGGUGCCGUAACUUCGGGAGAAGGCACGCUGAUAUGUAGGUGAAGCGACUUGCUCGUGGAGCUGAAAUCAGUCGAAGAUACCAGCUGGCUGCAACUGUUUAUUAAAAACACAGCACUGUGCAAACACGAAAGUGGACGUAUACGGUGUGACGCCUGCCCGGUGCCGGAAGGUUAAUUGAUGGGGUUAGCGGUAACGCGAAGCUCUUGAUCGAAGCCCCGGUAAACGGCGGCCGUAACUAUAACGGUCCUAAGGUAGCGAAAUUCCUUGUCGGGUAAGUUCCGACCUGCACGAAUGGCGUAAUGAUGGCCAGGCUGUCUCCACCCGAGACUCAGUGAAAUUGAACUCGCUGUGAAGAUGCAGUGUACCCGCGGCAAGACGGAAAGACCCCGUGAACCUUUACUAUAGCUUGACACUGAACAUUGAGCCUUGAUGUGUAGGAUAGGUGGGAGGCUUUGAAGUGUGGACGCCAGUCUGCAUGGAGCCGACCUUGAAAUACCACCCUUUAAUGUUUGAUGUUCUAACGUGGGCCCCUUACCGGGGUUGCGGACAGUGUCUGGUGGGUAGUUUGACUGGGGCGGUCUCCUCCUAAAGAGUAACGGAGGAGCACGAAGGUUGGCUAAUCCUGGUCGGACAUCAGGAGGUUAGUGCAAUGGCAUAAGCCAGCUUGACUGCGAGCGUGACGGCGCGAGCAGGUGCGAAAGCAGGUCAUAGUGAUCCGGUGGUUCUGAAUGGAAGGGCCAUCGCUCAACGGAUAAAAGGUACUCCGGGGAUAACAGGCUGAUACCGCCCAAGAGUUCAUAUCGACGGCGGUGUUUGGCACCUCGAUGUCGGCUCAUCACAUCCUGGGGCUGAAGUAGGUCCCAAGGGUAUGGCUGUUCGCCAUUUAAAGUGGUACGCGAGCUGGGUUUAGAACGUCGUGAGACAGUUCGGUCCCUAUCUGCCGUGGGCGCUGGAGAACUGAGGGGGGCUGCUCCUAGUACGAGAGGACCGGAGUGGACGCAUCACUGGUGUUCGGGUUGUCAUGCCAAUGGCACUGCCCGGUAGCUAAAUGCGGAAGAGA
rnacentral:rRNA from 1 species